AUUGAACGCUGGCGGCAGGCCUAACACAUGCAAGUCGAACGAGUGGCGGACGGGUGAGUAAUUGCUGGGAAACUGCCUGAACGACGGGGAUAACUACUGUAAACCGUAGCUAAUAACGCAUACCAUCAGAUAUGCCCCGAUGGGAUUAGCGACGUGGUGGGGUAAAGGCCAACAAAGACGACGAUCCCUAGCUGGUCUGAGAGGAUGACCAGCAACACUGGAACUGAGACACGGUCCAGAUUCCUACGGGAGGCAGCAGUGGGGAAGCUUGCACAAUGGGCGCAAGCCUGAUGCAGCCAUGCCGCGUGUAUGAAGAAGGUCUUCGGGUUGUAAAGUACUUUCAGCGGGGAGGCGUUACCCGCAGAAGAAGCACCGGCUAACUCCGUGCCAGCAGCCGCGGUAAUUC
rnacentral:rRNA from 1 species